rnacentral:rRNA from 1 species
GUCUACAGUUAUGCCACCCUGAACAAGCCCGAUGUCUGGUCUCGGAAGCUAUGCAGUGUCGGGCCUAGUUAAUGCUUGGAUGGGAGAACACCUAGGAAGACGAGGUGCUGUAGGCA